rnacentral:rRNA from 1 species
UACGGAGGAUCCGAGCGUUAUCCGGAUUUAUUGGGUUUAAAGGGUGCGUAGGCGGCCUAUUAAGUCAGGGGUGAAAGACGGUAGCUUAACUAUCGCAGUGCCUUUGAUACUGAUGGGCUUGAAUGUACUUGAGGUAGGCGGAAUGUGACAAGUAGCGGUGAAAUGCAUAGAUAUGUCACAGAACACCAAUUGCGAAGGCAGCUUACUAAAGUAUGAUUGACGCUGGAGGCACGAAAGCGUGGGGAUCAAACAGG